CCUACGGGAGGCAGCAGUGAGGAAUAUUGGUCAAUGGCCGGAAGGCUGAACCAGCCAUGCCGCGUGAAGGUCAGUGCCCUAUGGGCGUUAAACUUCUUUUGUGCGGGAGCAAUAAUGGUCACGUGUGACCAGACGAGAGUACCGUACGAAUAAGCAUCGGCUAACUCCGUGCCAGCAGCCGCGGUAAUACGGGGGAUGCAAGCGUUAUCCGGAUUUAUUGGGUUUAAAGGGUGCGUAGGCUGGGAGGUAAGUCAGCGGUGAAAUGCCCGCGCUCAACGGGGUGAAGUGCCAUUGAUACUGGCUGGCUGGAAUGCGGAUGCCGUAGGAGGAAUGUGUGGUGGAGCGGUGAAAUGCAUAGAUAUCACACAGAACACCGAUUGCGAAGGCAUCUCACGAAUCCGCGAUUGACGCUGAUGCACGAAAGCGUGGGUAUCAAACAGGAUUAGAUACCCGGGUAGUC
rnacentral:rRNA from 1 species